UCCCCGAUAGCUCAACGGUAGAGCAUCCGGCUGUUAACCGGAGGGUUGCAGGUUCGAAUCCUGCUCGGGGAG
rnacentral:tRNA from 1 species